GCUUAACCAUCUAUGCUUAUCAUCAUUAGUUGUCAUCAUCAAAAGUUGUUGUCCUUGUUAAAGGCAUGUCACCUAUAAGUAACAUGUAAAACAAGGUUCUAUAUUCUCCCCUUUUUUAUGAUGACAAUGCAACUCUCAGGGAUGUGGUAAAAGAAACAAAUAAAAUUAUUUGGAGUAUUCAAACUCCCCCUCAAUUUAG
rnacentral:lncRNA from 1 species